GUGAAAUCCUCAAGGAAGGUUCUUCGUGCCACAGCUGUUCGCGGUCAUGGUGUUCGUAGCCUGCAGGUGGGAAUGCUCACCCUGGUGCCACUCCCCGUGUUUCAAUGCUGUGGGUUCACUGCUAGUCCUGGAAAAAUAGCCCUGAGCAAUUUGUGCUGCAGAUAGAGGGCUGAAGUUCAGUUCUUGCUGAGGUUUCCUGGCUUAAUACUUAAGCACAGUGCCCUCUGUUCACUGUCUAUAAGAGCCAAUCGAUUGAUGAUACAGCUGCCUUGGUGUACCCCCAGCCCAGUGCAGACAGCAGUUUAUCCCACAGCUCCAGAAUUCAAUACAACAUGGAAAAGGAGACAAAAAGAAGUUUUAUGAAAAUUCCAAACCAUGUAGCUUUCCCAAGCUACUGCAAGCACUGUGCAGUUAUGCAUGAAGCAAUAAAAAAUGCUGCCCCAGCCUCCUUUUUGCUGGGAAAGAGUAACUGACAUUAGGCAUAAAUUUUACAGGAUUCAGAUUC